rnacentral:rRNA from 1 species
UACAGAGGGUGCGAGCGUUGUCCGGAAUUACUGGGCGUAAAGAGCUCGUAGGUGGUUUGUCGCGUUGUCCGUGAAAACUCACAACUCAAUUGUGGGCGUGCGGGCGAUACGGGCAGACUGGAGUACUGCAGGGGAGACUGGAAUUCCUGGUGUAGCGGUGGAAUGCGCAGAUAUCAGGAAGAACACCCGUGGCGAAGGCGGCUCUCUGGGACGGUACUGACGCUGAGACGCGAAAGCGUGGGGAGCGAACAGG